CAUUUAUUUUUUUCUUUCAUGGAUCAUCCUUUUGGUGUAGUAUCUAAAAGGUCAUUUACAAACCCAAGGUUACCUAGAUUUUCUCCUAUGUUAUCUUGAAGAAGUUCUA